UACGGGGUAGUGUACGGUUGCACAGGAGGCUCAUAAUCUCCUAGACCGUGGUUCAACUCCCGGCCCCGUAACCA
rnacentral:tRNA from 2 species